rnacentral:rRNA from 1 species
CAGUCGCCGCGGGAACACCGAGGGUGCAAGCGUUAAUCGGAAUUACUGGGCGUAAAGCGCGCGUAGGUGGUUUGUUAAGUUGGAUGUGAAAUCCCCGGGCUCAACCUGGGAACUGCAUUCAAAACUGACUGACUAGAGUAUGGUAGAGGGUGGUGGAAUUUCCUGUGUAGCGGUGAAAUGCGUAGAUAUAGGAAGGAACACCAGUGGCGAAGGCGACCACCUGGACUAAUACUGACACUGAGGUGCGAAAGCGUGGGGAGCAAACAGGAUUAGAUACCCCGGUAGUCCCUGUCUCUUAUAC